rnacentral:rRNA from 1 species
UACGGAGGGUGCAAGCGUUAUCCGGAAUCAUUGGGCGUAAAGGGCGCGUAGGCGGAUACGUAAGUCAGAUGUGAAAGCCCAGGGCUCAACCCUGGGACUGCAUUUGAAACUAUGUUGCUAGAGUGCAGGAGAGGUAAGUGGAAUUCCUAGUGUAGCGGUGAAAUGCGUAGAUAUUAGGAGGAACACCAGUGGCGAAGGCGGCUUACUGGACUGUAACUGACGUUGAGGCUCGAAAGCGUGGGGAGCAAACAGG